rnacentral:misc_RNA from 1 species
CACCGUCAAUGGCGACGCCGAAGCUCCACGCAAGCCCAGGAUAGCUUUGGUCACUGGCAUAACCGGCCAAGACGGCUCCUAUUUAACGGAAUUUCUCCUCAACAAAGGGUAUGAGGUUCAUGGUUUGAUCCGUCGUUCGUCUAACUUCAACACCCAGCGCAUCAACCACAUUUACAUCGAUCCUCACAAUACCCACAAGGCCCGUAUGAAGCUACACUAUGCUGAUCUCACUGACGCCUCCUCUCUUCGCCGCUGGCUUGAUACCAUUCUUCCCGACGAGGUUUACAAUCUCGCUGCUCAAUC